rnacentral:rRNA from 1 species
CCUACGGGAGGCAGCAGUGAGGAAUAUUGGUCAAUGGCCGAGAGGCUGAACCAGCCAAGUCGCGUUAGGGCAGACGGCCCUACGGGUUGUAAACCUCUUUUGUCGGGGAGCAAAGCGAACCACGUGUGGUUCAUUGAGAGUACCCGAAGAAAAAGCAUCGGCUAACUCCGUGCCAGCAGCCGCGGUAAUACGGAGGUGGCAAGCGUUGUCCGGAUUUACUGGGUGUAAAGGGCGUGCAGCCGGGAAGACAAGUCAGAUGUGAAAUCCCGCGGCUCAACCGCGGAACUGCAUUUGAAACUGUUUGUCUUGAGUACCGGAGAGGUCAUCGGAAUUCCUUGUGUAGCGGUGAAAUGCGUAGAUAUAAGGAAGAACACCAGUGGCGAAGGCGGAUGACUGGACGGCAACUGACGGUGAGGCGCGAAAGCGUGGGGAGCAAACAGGAUUAGAUACCCCAGUC